rnacentral:lncRNA from 1 species
UUAGCUUGGCUGUUUUUAUAUGUGGUGUAAAUUUCGGAAAAUUAUUUAACCAAUGUGUAUGCUUAUUUCCAAGAUAUUUCAUUAAAAUUUUGAUAAUGCCCUAUAAUUAAUUAUGUCAAUAUCCUUCUAUCUUUCAUAAAUUAUGUAUGUAGUUUCUAUGGGAAUGCAAUUUGGUUCAUCCAAAUUAUUUCAUCAUUUUUCUAUUUUGGAGUUGUGUUUUUUUUUCGAACCCAACUUUAAAUAUAAAAGAAUCCAAUUUCAUAUUAGAGAAAUAAAUUUAAAAUCUUCAAAUAAAUAUGGUGAGAAAAAAAAAUGAAAAUCUCUAUUUUGCAGUUGAAAAUGGA